UACGUAGGAGGCGAGCGUUGUCCGGAAUUACUGGGCGUAAAGAGCGCGUAGGCGGCACGGUACGACCGGUGUGAAAGCCCCCUGGCUCAACUGGGGGAGGUCAUGGGAAACGGUCGGACUGGAGCCCGGUAGGGGGCCAUGGAAUUCCCGGUGUAGUGGUGGAAUGCGUAGAGAUCGGGAGGAACACCUGUGGCGAAGGCGGUGGCCUGGACCGGUGCUGACGCUGAGGCGCGAAGGCGUGGGGAGCGAUCCGG
rnacentral:rRNA from 1 species